GUGACAAAUGCAUCGGGGAUCACCUCUUCCCAUUCCGAACAGAGUCGUUAAGACCGAUAGCGCCAAUGGUACUGCCUCCAACCGAGGUGGAAGAGUAGGUAGUCGCCA
rnacentral:rRNA from 1 species